AAGGUUUCCCGAAGUUCAGGACUCGACUGGGCAACUUUUGUGGCGAAAUGACGUAACGGGACGAGAAGCUGCUGAUGGUGUAUUUGACGGAGAAGCAGCUCGUAGAAGUCCACUCACUAAGGUCUCCAAGAGCCUCAGUGGACUUGAAGGAGCAGGUGUGCCUGAGGAACACACUUGCCACAGAAACCUCCACAGCGCCCGUAGACCCUUGUUCCGUCCUAUAGGGGAGAGAGGAGAAUGUGGGCGGACACUUAACGCUUUCUUACCUCCGAUCUGUGCACCUUGACUGAGACGUAGUUGCCCUGAGACGACCACUUGGUGGUCUCGGCCACCCGGAGGCCGGUCCCCAUCAGAUUGAUGCUGAACUGGCCCUGAGAGUGUCACAAAAUGUGGUUUGUACACGUACA